rnacentral:rRNA from 1 species
UGAGGAAUAUUGCCCAAUGGCCGCAAGGCUGAAGCAGCAACGCCGCGUGAGGGAUGAAGGAUCUAUGGUCUGUAAACCUCUGUAGAUAAGGAAAAAUAAUCCAUUAAAUGGAGAUGAUAGUACUUAUAGAGUAAGCCCCGGCUAACUACGUGCCAGCAGCCGCGGUAAUACGUAGGGGGCGAGCGUUGUCCGGAAUCACUGGGUGUAAAGGGUGCUCAGGCGGGUCAGUAAGUCAGGGGUGAAAUUUCACAGCUUAACUGUGAAUGUGCUUUCGAUACUGCUGGUCUAGAGUUCAGGAGAGGGCAAUGGAAUUCUUGGUGUAGCGGUGAAAUGCGUAGAUAUCAAGAAGAACACCGGUUGCGAAGGCGGUUGCCUGGCCUGUAACUGACGCUCAAGCACGAAAGCGUGGGGAUCAAACAG